UUGACUAACCUUCAACUGAAAUUUACUAUGUCUUCCUUGCAAGUCUUCUUGAAAAAUAUAACUUGUCAGUUUUUGGGUAAUGAACCACAAUGUAAUUAUGAUGGACGAAACUGCCGAGAAAACAUGCCACAUGACAUGGUGAAAAGAAAUUAUGUUAUAUUUAAUACCACCUUGGAACCUACAAAACUUCCCAUCCACUUUUGUUAAGUAUGAACGCAGAAUUACUGCACGACUGUGGUACAUGGCGCACGGGGAAAAGUUUGGCACAAUCCUUCUCGCUGGAGAAUUAUGACUUCGAAACGAAGCCCUUAGGGGGAAUGCUUAAAAAAAAAGUUAGUAAAAUUUUACCGGUUAAGUGCUACUUUUUGUCCUCCACCGGAGGCCCUAGAGCCAUAUAUACACUGAAAAAAUUAUUUACCUAGUGCUUCACCCAAGAACUUCGGAAACUAAAACUAUA